UUAAAUAAGCAGUUGUCAUCAUAAAAUAAAAUCAACAUGGAUUCCAAUCAUUUUGUCGUUUUUUAUGAGUCAAAGGAUCAUACGUGUCAGAAAAAUUCAUGUUUUUCCAUCAUGGUCACCACGAGAUGGUUUUAAGUACGUGCUGAAAACCUUGCAACAUCAUUG